GGAAGGAGGACAACCCAAGCCAUCUGCUGCACAUCACGAUGAGGGGAAUGACCAAACGCUAGUUGAACAGAUGAAAUAACUGAGAGGCAGCCAAGCUGUCUGGUGGUACAAGACUGCACAGAUCAAAUUCUGGGAGUUUACAUUUCUGAAACUUGGGUCAAGGUCCUGGCCAGUCCUCAACAAGAGCAACCGUGUGGACAUCUGUGGCAAUGUCAGAUUCACUCGAUCCCAAGACAAGAUGCUCUUUGAUAAUGGACUAGAGGAAAGGGUGAAAGAAUGGUUUAGAGCCAAUUCAAGAAAGAACAAUCUGAUUCACACUUGGAGGAGGACACAGGAGCUGAAUCAGAUGGGGCUGUGGUGCCUGGGGAGGAAAUUUUUUAUUUUGGGAUCCUAGAACGAAGAGACAAUGAAGAUGACAUGGAAUUCAUCAACAUGCUUUCCUUGAUCUACACAACCGCCUGCCCCAUGCUGCUGGCAGAGCAGUCUGUUCUCUUGGCCUAUGCAGAUGCCAUAGUAUACAAGUGUUAAAAUUGUGGUGGAUCCCAGAAGCGUGCAGACAUGUUCAGAUGUGUCCAGAGUUCCUUUCUUCUGGUGGGUUCGUGGUCUCCCUGACUUCAGGAGUGAAGCUGCAGAUCUUCAUGAGAUAGUGUCUCACUCUGUUGCCCAAGCUGGAGUGCAGUAGUGUGAUCAUAGCUCACUGUAACCUCAGAUUCUUGGCCUCAAAUGAUCCUUCCAUCUUAGCCGCCAGAGUAGGUUGGACUACAGACAUGCACCAUGAUACUCAGCUAAUUUUUAAUUUUUUUUAUAGAGACGGAGUUCUCACUACGUUUUCCAUGCUGAGUGUGAGCUCUUGGCCUCAAGUGAUCCUCCCACUUCUGCCUCCUAAAGUGCUGGGAUAACAGAAAAGCAGUAAGAAAUUUGAAGCAUUGAAAACAACAGGGCCGGGCGCGGUGGCUCAUGCCUGUAAUCCCAGCACUUUGGGAGGCCCAGGUGGGUGGAUCACGAGGUCAGGAGAUCGAGACCAUCCUGGCUAACGCGGUGAAACCCCGUCUCUACUAAAAAUACAAAAAAUUAGCCGCGCGUAGUGGCGGGCACGUGUAGUCCCAGCUACCUGGGAGGCUGAGGCAGGAGAAUGGCGUGAACCUGGGAGGCAGAGCUUGCAGUGAGCAGAGAUGGCGUCACUGCACUCCAGCCUGGGCAACUGAGCAAGACUCCAUCUCAAAAACAACAACAACAACAACAACAACAACAACAACAACAACAACAACAACAACAGGAUUUGCCUAUUAUGUUACUCUGUUGAUUCAGAUUCUGUUACUGUUACUUUAUGAUCAUGUCUCUAGAGAAAUCUGAUUUGCUUUACUCUAUGGUACCAGGCUUUGCCAGAAUACUGAAACUGUUUCAAGUCCUAGGACUCAGGCUAGGACACAAUGACGCUCUCAAUUGCACUGAACCUUGGGGCAAAGAAGAGAGUGAGGCAAGAUAGUGGUCAAGCCAACAGUGAGGAAGAAUGAAGAGCGAAUUGCAUGAACACCACCACUCCCCGCAGUGUGUUCACUGUGAGGAGUUUGUGAGAAGGGAAGGAACCUCAGGUUUAUACUUCAGGAUUAUAUAGGUAUUCCUAGGGUACUGGUUAUAGAAAUACCAUAGAAAUCAGAGAGAGACUUUGGCCAUAUGGGUCACUGUGGUGAUUCAUAUUCACAUUCUACCUAUAUUUAUUGAUAUAAGAAUCUAUGCCCAUGUAGCUCUGGACAAUUUGAUGGCUUGAGAAAUUUUACUGACAAGAUGAGGGAAGAGGAAGAGAGUAUAUAGAUUGUAAUAUUUACCCAAUGGGCAGCAGUUGGCCCCGGGUAGCAAAAGAUAUAGUUCUCUAGAGUCUCCUAGCUUAUUCAACCUGCCCACAGGCUGCAUGCGGCCAAGGAUGGCUUUGAAUGUGGCUCAACACAAAUUCAUAAACUUUGUUAAAACAUUAUAUAAGAUUUAUUUGUGAGUAUUACUUUUUAGCUAAUUAGUUAUUGUUAGUGCUAGUGUAUGUUAUGUGUGGCCCAAGACAAUUCUUCUUCCAGUGUGGCCCAGGGAAGCCAAAAGAUUGGACACCCCUGCUCUAGACUCUCCUGAUGAACCCCCUGCCCUAUGCCCGCUGGUAAUCAACCACAAAAGUUACCUUUAAAUAUGCUUCUGAAGAAAACAUAAUAUAUGUUUUAGAGAUAAUAGAUGUAGAUCAUUGUUAGCCAUCUUCUUUAAUUUUGGAAAAACAAAUUUAAUUCACCAAAAUUCACCCCUACUUCUGUGAAACUGUUCAAGACUUAGCACCACAGGCUACAGGAAAGUAGGAAGUUAUGCUGAAAAAUGCCUUGGAUUUUCUCUAUACUGUUGAAAGUUGGAAAGUUAUUACCAAAGGUGAGAACUGAGCUUCUCAUUAUGGUAGUCACAUGCAG
ensembl:lncRNA CASC15 cancer susceptibility 15